UUGGGUGAAGUUUGGUCUUUG
ensembl:piRNA 21ur-11393 ncRNA